rnacentral:tRNA from 1 species
GCCGAAGUGGCGAAAUCGGUAGACGCAGUUGAUUCAAAAUCAGACGCAGUUGAUUCAAAAUCAACCGUAGAAAUACGUGCCGGUUCGAGUCCGGCCUUCGGCACCA